rnacentral:rRNA from 1 species
AUACGUAGGGGGCGAGCGUUGUCCGGAAUGAUUGGGCGUAAAGGGCGCGUAGGCGGCCCGGUAAGUCUGGAGUGAAAGUCCUGUUUUUAAGAUGGGAAUUGCUUUGGAUACUGUCGGGCUUGAGUGCAGGAGAGGUAAGUGGAAUUCCCAGUGUAGCGGUGAAAUGCGUAGAGAUUGGGAGGAACACCAGUGGCGAAGGCGACUUACUGGACUGUAACUGACGCUGAGGCGCGAAAGCGUGGGGAGCAAACAGGAUUAGAUACCCUGGUAGUCCACACUGUAAACGAUGAAUGCUAGGUGUAGGGGGUAUCGACCCCUUCUGUGCCGCAGUCAACACAAUAAGCAUUCCGCCUGGGGAGUACGGCCGCAAGGUUGAAACUUAAAGGAAUUGACGGGG